CCUACGGGCGGCAGCAGUGGGGAAUAUUGCACAAUGGGGGUAACCCUGAUGCAGCGAUGCCGCGUGGAGGAAGACGGUCUUCGGAUUGUAAACUCCUUUUUUCAGGGACGAUAAUGACGGUACCUGAAGAAAAAGCUCCGGCUAACUACGUGCCAGCAGCCGCGGUAAUACGUAGGGAGCGGGCGUUGUCCGGAAUUACUGGGUGUUAAGGGAGCGUAGGCGGGACGGCAAGUCAGAUGGGAAAACUGCGGGCUCAACCUUCAGACUGCAUUUGAAACUGCUGUUCUUGAGUGAAGGAGAGGUAAGCGGAAUUCCUAGUGUAGCGGUGAAAUGCGUAGAUAUUCGGAGGAACACCGGUGGCGAAGGCGGCCAACUGGGCUGUAACUGACGCUGAGGCUCGAAAGUGUGGGGAGCGAACAGGAUUAGAUACCCGUGUAGUC
rnacentral:rRNA from 1 species